UAAAGGUGAUGUACAGAGGGAUUACAGUUAUAUAAGUCAGAUAGAGUACAUUCUUUUGGACAAUGUCACCUUAUUCCUUGCUCUCUUCCAAUUUUCUUUGUAUAGAUUUU